CUCCAUCCCCACUAAGCCGCCCCUGCUUGUACCGAGUUUUAGAGGUAUACAUGGAAUUUUUUUGUUGUGUCAAGUUAUAACAAGGAUAGUGAUAAGACAGACUAAAACAUCACCUCAUAUACUGAGUGACUUGGAUUUCAAUGGAGGAAGAGAGACGAAGCGAAGAAGAGAGAUAUCAUCUUUGGAGUCCUUUCCAAUUCUGUAAAGAAGCUCUUGAGAGCUUCUUAAAGUGUCUUGGUCUUUAUACCUCUCCUUCAAAUUCUUCGGCAUCUUCGGUUCAGGAGGAUGCCGUGACGACAAGGGGAAUUUUAAUCGGAUCAAAGAAAAGGCCGAGAGAGCCACAUAGCUCUGGAAAGCCAGGCGGCCACAACUAAAUUAGGAACAUUUGAUUUGUUGCUUUGCUAUCUAUCAGCCAUAAAAGCCACCCGGAAAAACAGAUUAGUAGUUGCAUGCAAUGUUUCACGUUUAUCAUACACAUCGUUUUAUGUAUAUUUUGGGCUAAUCAUAGUUUCAUAUCAUGAAGUUGAUCCAUUUAGUCUUAAAAUUAUUCAAAACAUAAAGACUUUUGUUUUUCAGACGUUUGUGUUGAUGGACGAUAGUGGACGGUGACCAAAUGGUACGGAAAAAAUGUAUCUCUGGUUAAUAUUAAA